ensembl:piRNA 21ur-3384 ncRNA
UGUCAUUACGUCUCAUACUUU